GGAUGACAUCACAUUUCCACAGGCAACACAAAGAGCUGCAUUCAGCAGAAUGAUUUUCCCGGUUUCAAGACAUACAUCCUGCUUCGCCCGGU